CCGACCUUAGCUCAGUUGGUAGAGCGGAGGACUGUAGUUGGAAUUCCCAUGCUGAUAUCCUUAGGUCGCUGGUUCGAAUCCGGCAGGUCGGA
rfam:Lupinus angustifolius cultivar Tanjil chromosome LG12, whole genome shotgun sequence.